GGCCCGCUGCACGGCGUCGGCGAAAGCGUCCUUGCGGAUCCCCGGGCCUCCCCCGCCGGGCGGCUGGGAGGGACCCCCGGCCGACCCCCCGCCGGGGCCGCCGCCGGGGCCGCCGCCGCCCCGGUCCCCCCGCACCCGGCGGGCCCGGCGGAGGGCCUCCCCCGGCGCCCCCGGCUCCCCCGGCUCCUCCGCCGCCGCCAGCGGGCGGCGGCGGCCCGGGCGGGGGUCCUCCCGUGCUGUAGUCCGACAUGGCGCGGCGGGGCCGGGCCUGGCGCGGAGGCUGAAGCUGAGGAGGCGGCGGCGGCGGCGGCGGCUCAACGCGGGAACAAGGCCUCGCUCCACACGGCCGCGGAGCACUCUGGGAACCCAGCGGCUGGGAAGACGACGAGGGGGGAGAGGGACGCCUCCUCCCGCCGCCGGCGUGACGGACGGCGCAGCCAGGCCAAUCGGAGGCGGCCGCCGCUCCUGGGACACCAAUCGCGGGCUCUGGAGGCAAGCGGCCAAUCGGAGUGCCGCGAGAGGCAGUGGGCGGGAGGCGCCGCGUGACCGACAGCUCUCGGAGGCAGUGGGCUUCGGGCUGCCGGUGCUGGGCGGGCAAAUCGAGGCGACCCGAGAGGACAGGAGGCCCAAUGAAGCGGGAGUUCCAGAACUACGGGGCGACUUCAGAACUGGAUUGACGACUCCGGAGAGUCAAGUGGACAGGAAGGAGGGACCUGGGGAAAGGCCCCUUUGAACAGGCUGGGCGGGCGCCAGGUUGUCUCCACGUCCACCAUUUCACCCUGAAGCCAGGACAAGCCACAACGAGCCAAACUGGAGUCCAGACUAGUCCCUGGCUGCACCCUCGGGCAGGAUCCCCAGGGAUCUUCUGACCCAGGCCCCCAGACUGCUUCUCCUGACAGAAACUGCCCCCCCCCCCCGGGCCUGAGCCUGGAGGGCUCUUUGCGCCAGGGGACCCUGGAUCCUCCUGUCCAUUUCUGCCCAGGGUGGGUCGACUAGCCACUGCCUAAUACACCCAGGGUUUUCUUCAUGGCUUCAUACACCACGUAGCUGAUGCCGCCUGCUGGCAACACCUUCAGUAUAAGGAUUCAGAAGCCCAAGUGCUGACAGAGGCCAAGAGGAUAAGGGAAGUGGUGUGGACUGAGCGGAGUUACAGCUUACACCCAGCAGCAGCCAGACAUCAUGCCACGGGGGUGCAGACCCCACGUGGUGGCCAGGUUUGCCAAUUUUCCAAGAGAAGCCAGACAUAGUCAUUUGUACAAAAUACCCCAACAUCAGAACAUUGGCAGCUCUACAGUUGCCCAAAAAACCGAACACCCAGUGUGGUAGGCAGAAUUCUAAGGUGGUCCCCAAGUUUCCCACCCCUGAUAUGUGCGCUCCAUAUAAUGCCCACCUCCCCUCCCACCCCGACCUUGAGAGUGUGCUAGGCUGGGACUAUGAUUGGGAAUCACUCCCCUCGUAAAGUUACAUGACAUGAAGUUACAUUUCGUGAAAGUGAAGGGAUUUUGCAGAUGUAUCGGGUCCUUAAGCAAUUAAUUUUAAGCGAAGCAAGACCAUUUGUCCUGGGUAGGCCUGACCGAAUCAGGUGAGCCCUUUAAUAAAAGAGUCUGUUGCCAGAGACAGAAGAAAUCAGAGCGAUUGGGAGUAUCCAGGACACUCUUCAGUUGGUCUUAAACAAGCUGACUGUUGUGGAGAGGACUACAUGGCAGGGACGGUGGGUGGCCUCUAGGAGCUGAGGACCCUAGUCCUACAACCAUAAACUGAAUCCUGCCAACAACCAAGGAACUUGACAGAGGACCCAGGUCUCUGGUGGGUUCAGCUGUAGCCCAGCCAACACCUUGAUUUUGGCCUGAUGAAACCCUGAGCAGAGGACCUGACUAGCCAGUGCCCAGGCGUGGCCCACAGACAAAAGAUAAUAAAUCUGUAUCCUUUUAAGCUACCGAGUCUGUGGCAAUUUGUUACGCAGCAAUAGAACACAAAUACACUUAAGAGAAAAUUUAACUAGUUAAGGGCAAGAAUUAUAUGAGGAAACUUUAAAAGACCAUUAAAGUACAUAAAAGGAGACUUGAACAAAUAGAAAUGAUCUUGGAUACCAGAGCCAGCCUCAUAGAUGGCAGGAAUCUCUAAGCUUAUUUAUAAAUUGAAUACUAUCCCAGUAAAAAAUACCAAUAGGUGACUUUGUUUUCUGAACUUACUAGAGGUAAGUUACUUUUAAAGUUUAUAUGGGAAACCACAGAGGGAGUAACCUGGAAACCGAUAAAGAAGAGCAGGGAUGGGGGAUGAGAAAGCAUAAGAUCAAGCCUCGAAAAUUAAAGACAGAGAGUAAAACUACAGGGAUGCCCAGCUGGCUCAGUCGGAAGAGCCUGUGACUCCUGAUCUCGGGAGGUGUUGGGUGUAGACACCACUUAAAUUAAUAAAAUUUUUUAAAAAGGUAAAACUAGACAAACGAUUAAUAAAAAAAAUUAAUAAAAUUUUGGGUGUAGACACCACUUAAAUUAAUAAAAUUUUUUAAAAAGGUAAAACUAGACAAACGAUUAGGGUUCAGGGGAGAGGCAAGAAGGGGUGAGUAGGUGGAGCAGAGAGGAUUUUUAGGGCAGUGAAACUAUAUGACACCCUAAUGGUGUGUACGCGUCUGUAUACAUCUGUACAAACUGCAGAAUGUACUACACCGAGAGUGAACCUAAAGGCAACUAUGGACUUUAAUAAUAAUGUAUCGAUAUUGGUUCAUCAGUUGCAACAAACGUCCCCUGCCCGCCCCUCACCACGCAGGAUAUUAAUAGCAGGAACUGUAUAUGUGGGGAGAGAUGUGUAUGGGAACUCUGUACUUCCUGCUCAAUUUUUCUGUGAAUCUAAAACUGCUGUACAGGGGCGCCUGGGUGGCUCAGUCGUUAAGCGUCUGCCUUUGGCUCAGGUCAUGAUCCCAGG